CUUUUCACCAGUCAGGUCCAUCUUUGCUUUGGUGGAGCCUCGUAAACAACUGUCAGCUGCAUUGUUUCCUUUGUUGUUGAGGAGAGUGGGAGGCAGUGCAGCCCAGGGAGCAAGUGGCCGGCCCUGCUCAGGGCUUUCCCCGCUCAGGCGUUUCCAGGGCGGGAAGGAGGCCGGGCAGCGCGGGGUCUCAGACGGCCUCUCUGCCUUCAGCUGGGAGCGGUUUCGGCAGCAGCUCAGCCGGAGGAGAAGUGGGCGCUGAGGUUUUGAUGCCAACCUGGGCCUCUUCCCUGGGGGAGGAAGGCGACAGCCAUCACUAGCAAGGGGGGCCGGGUCGCGGGGUCUCGAGAGGCUGGCGAGGGCGGGCGGGCAGGCGGCCCCCGGGGCACGGCUGACCUUCCUCCCGGGAGGAGGGCGGGGGCUCGCCAGCAGCUGGAACUGUGGGGGUGGAUUCGUGCAGGCGGGUCCCUAGGUCCAGGGGCUGAGGGCCAGGGUCCCUCGCAGCCACGGGAGAACAUCUCGCAGUCUCGGCAUCGAGACGCCCCCAAGUCCUGGACGGCCCCACCUGACGUCAAAUCAAAGGGGGGGCACAAGUCAGCACCUCCAACAGGUGCUGCGGGGAAGGAAACGUGUCCUUUUGCACAGAUGGUGUUCUGGCAUGUUCUGUCUGUUCUCCUGUGCAGGCUAACGUCAGCAGGACUGUAUUUUAGAGCUGGGUUUUCUGAGCCCGUAGCACCUUACUGGAGAAGGUUCCCUCCUGAACCCAGGGAUGCCUUGGGCGGACUGUAGUCCACACAGCUCGGGACCCUUUCUGCUCGUUUCCGCCGGCCGCGGGAAUUCGCCGUCUAUUCGCAUGGUGAGAAGCUUCAAGUCUAACAGGAAAAAUGGGUGAAAACCAAAUGCUUCCUUUUCUGUUCUAUGUGUUUAUAUUUUGUUCCUCUAUUAAACAGAAAUAUUCUGUUAGUGACACUAAGCGUAUUCGAGGAGUAUACCAUACGCAUUCUUUUAUAGGGUAGGAAGUUUUUAUUAUCCCCUUAACCGUGAAGUUAAACUAUAUCGAUACAAAGAAAACCAGGCCUUCUAUUAAUGCAUGCCUUUUUUUUUUUUGUCAUGGAUACUCUUAAAUUUAUUCCUGGGUAUUUUAAUGUUUUGAAUUAUCAUUAGGAAUGUGUUUUCAAUCUUAGUCAAAUUGGUGUGGUUUGUAAAUACAAAUGCUACUAAUCUAAACAUCUAUUUAAAAUGUGUAAAUGACUGCUUCUGGCUUUCUCUUUUUAUUUAUUCUCUUGGAUUUUUCAGGCAGGCAAUCACAUUAACAGAUUUGACACAAUGGUUUGAACGCCAUUUAAAGCUAAAUUUAGAUAUCCCCAAGAAUGGAAAGUGCAUGACAGAUAUUUUUUCAAACCACAAAUAGAUUUAAUUAAACUGUUUAUUUUUUUGAAAUGAGUCCAAUGAAAUAUUUACCUUACAAUAUGUCCCAUCAUAAUUUGUUAAAUGCCAU
rnacentral:lncRNA from 1 species